GCUUGGCGAUGAAAGACGCUUUCUCAACCCGCGCGGGAGACCGAGAAAUAGUUCUGAGUAAGCGCUCGUCCUCUCGCCGGUCCACAGCCACCAAGUGUAGCCCGGGCCCGGCCUAUUUCCUCAGACACAGCCCCAGAGCCGGGCGGCCACCCCUACCCCGGGAGCCCUUCGCCAAGCGCGCAGCUCCAGACCAGAAGUAGCCGCUCCGACCCAGAGCUCCGGGUGGGGCAGAAGAAUCUUUUCUUGCUGCUCUCCUAGGAUCUACCAACCAGAGAUUCUAAUGUGAUAUGUUUGGAAUGGAGUUAUCGAUCUGCAUUUUUAAUAGGCAUCCUCCAGGUUUCUACCGUCUGUGGAACAUGGAAUCAAACCAGAAUAUGUUGGCACAACAGGCCAGUAAAACCGGUUCUUCCGUAGAUCCAGAACCUGUCCAACCAGUCUGUAUCAAAGGCUAGCCCAACAUGCUGCAGCGGCUCAGCUCUGCUAAGCUUGUACUGGGUGAGUUAUCCCCACCUCCUGUGAACUCCCAACAAACUACUCAGAAUGUUGUAGCCUCCAGCAAAAUAAUUCAGAGUUCUAGUGGGAGGGGUAGAUCUGUGUCAGGUAUAGCAAGAGUCCAUUGUUAUAAGACUCUCGUGGUAGACAUAUGUAAGCAAGUGGUCUGUUAUCUUCAGAGGUAGGUAAUCCUUUUAAACAUGUAUUCUGGGGCAUUCUGCUGACUACAGCCUCUAGAAAUAGAUUACCUGUGAUGAAGAUGAAUCCUAUAAUGCCUGACCUUUUCCACUAGUCUGCUUGGCUUUGCUUAAUCUAGCUUAGCCUUGAGGAGCGAGAUUGAUAUUCCCCACAGGGUAGUGGGCUUGAGAGCUAGAAGGAAGUAUUUCUAGAAAGAGAGAAACAAGGUGUAGGUUGACCAAACAUUUGCCUGGGUGUGUUAUCUUCCUCGUUCUCAAAUGAUCCUCAUACCAUUCCAGUCUAAAAUUGGAAAAACUCCUACAUACUAGGGACAACUUAAAGAGGUUUUGCUCUGAAUAUUCAACAGUUCAACACAAAGUAUUUAUAUCAACUAUGUUUCAAGAACUGUGCUAGGUACAGGGUUCACAAUGUAAGUAUAAUUAGUAAAGAUGAGAGCAACUUCAAAGUUCCCGAUUAAGCAUGUCUAGUAAACUUUUGGAAAGAAGAAAUGAGCAGCAAAACAUUACAUUUUGACAGAAAUUGGUUUGUAUUAAGAGAGAUCAUGUGAGAUUUGUGCUUACUCUCUCAUAAUACUUGCACAUUUAGAAGCAGUAUUUCCUGUCUGCUGCCAUAGUGUUUCUGAAACUUUUGUGCUUAAGAAUCAUCUGAAGUGUUGAUUAAGAGCACAGAUUCCUGGGUCUAACCACCACAGAUUCUGCUUCAGCAUUCAAUAGGAAUGUUGCCCAAGCACUUCUAGUGAUUCUGAUGCAAUUGUUGCAGGGACCAUAGCACAUAUUCCAUGCUCAGUUUCUUUUCUAUUUUUAUACCUCUUAAUUAAAAAGAAUACAUAUGAACCAAAAGUUGCCAUUUUUAUUUUUGUAUUUCUAGUGUCUAGAACACUGACUGACACAAGGUACUUAAUAAAUGCUUAUCAGAGUCAAGCACUUGCUAGGUCUCAGAGGAAUCACAACUAGUAAUGACUAUAUGAAUCAAACUCCAUUAAAUACUAUAAUUAUAAUAAUUGAGAUGGGAGCUCAGAAAUGGGAGUGAGUAUGACUAUAAGUAUGGGGAAGACUUCACAUGGGAGAUGGGUUUAGAGACUUUCCUUUUUAAACCAUGGCCAAAGAUUUCUAACUGCAGGAUAACAAAAGGCUAAAGGAACAAUAAAAAUAGUGCCUUUGAUUUGAUAACAGUAACAAAAGUGUUAAGUAUAUGAGGACACCAUGAACUCAAAACUUGGUAAUAAGGUUAUUUUCUACAGCAGGGUCAGUGGAUUUUUCCUUAAAGGAUCAGAGACUAAUAGAGUUUGUCAGCUAGACUGUCUCUGUCUCAACUAUUCAGUUGUAACAGUGUAGCACAAA